GCUGAAGCCCUUCGGGGUGGAUGAGUGGCGAACGGGUGAGUAACACGUGGGUAAUCUGCCCUGCACUCUGGGAUAAGCCUUGGAAACGAGGUCUAAUACCGGAUAGGACACAUGGCCGCAUGGUCUGUGUGUGGAAAGUUCCGGCGGUGCAGGUUGAGCCCGCGGCCUAUCAGCUUGUUGGUGGGGUGAUGGCCUACCAAGGCGACGACGGGUAGCCGGCCUGAGAGGGUGACCGGCCACACUGGGACUGAGACACGGCCCAGACUCCUACGGGAGGCAGCAGUGGGGAAUCUUGCGCAAUGGGCGAAAGCCUGACGCAGCAACGCCGCGUGGGGGAUGACGGCCUUCGGGUUGUAAACCUCUUUCGACAUCGACGAAGCCUUCGGGUGACGGUAGGUGUAGAAGAAGCACCGGCUAACUACGUGCCAGCAGCCGCGGUAAUACGUAGGGUGCGAGCGUUGUCCGGAAUUAUUGGGCGUAAAGAGCUCGUAGGCGGUUUGUCGCGUCGGCCGUGAAAACCUGCCGCUUAACGGUGGGCGUGCGGUCGAUACGGGCAGACUUGAGUUCGGUAGGGGAGACUGGAAUUCCUGGUGUAGCGGUGAAAUGCGCAGAUAUCAGGAGGAACACCGGUGGCGAAGGCGGGUCUCUGGGCCGAUACUGACGCUGAGGAGCGAAAGCGUGGGGAGCGAACAGGAUUAGAUACCCUGGUAGUCCACGCCGUAAACGGUGGGCGCUAGGUGUGGGGACUGUUUCCACGGUUCCUGUGCCGU
rnacentral:rRNA from 1 species